UGCCAGCAGCCGCGGUAAUACAGAGGGUGCAAACGUUGUUCGGAAUCACUGGGCAUAAAGCGCGCGUAGGCUGCCCUGUCAGUGUGAAGUGAAAUCCCACGGCUCAACCGUGGAACUGCUUUGCAUACUGCAGGGCUAGAGGACGGUAGGGGAGAGCGGAACUCCUGGUGGAGCGGUGAAAUGCGUAGAUAUCAGGAGGAACACCGGUGGCGAAGGCGGCUCUCUGGAACGUUUCUGACGCUGAGGUGCGAAAGCCAGGGUAGCGAACGGGAUUAGAUA
rnacentral:rRNA from 1 species